GAUGAACGCUAGCUACAGGCUUAACACAUGCAAGUCGAAGGGCAGCGGUAUCGAAAGCUUGCUUUCGGUAGCCGGCGACCGGCGCACGGGUGAGUAACGCGUAUCGAACCUGCCUCAUACUCGGGAAUAGCCUUGCGAAAGUAAGAUUAAUGCCCGGUGUUUUCAGAGUCCCGCAUGAGGCUUUGAACAAAGAUUUAUCGGUAUGAGAUGGCGAUGCGUCCCAUUAGCUUGUUGGCGGGGUAACGGCCCACCAAGGCAUCGAUGGGUAGGGGUUCUGAGAGGAAGGUCCCCCACAUUGGAACUGAGACACGGUCCAAACUCCUACGGGAGGCAGCAGUGAGGAAUAUUGGUCAAUGGGCGGAAGCCUGAACCAGCCAAGUAGCGUGCAGGAAGACGGCCCUCCGGGUUGUAAACUGCUUUUAGUUGGGAAUAAAACGGGGCUCGUGAGCCCCCUUGCAUGUACCAUCAGAAAAAGGACCGGCUAAUUCCGUG
rnacentral:rRNA from 1 species